AUUGAACGCUGGCGGCAGUCCUAACACAUGCAAGUCGAGCGGAUGAAGGUAUCUUGCUCCUGGAUUCAGCGGCGGACGGGUGAGUAAUGCCUAGGAAUCUGCCUGGUAGUGGGGGAUAACGUCCGGAAACGGGCGCUAAUACCGCAUACGUCCUGAGGGAGAAAGUGGGGGAUCUUCGGACCUCACGCUAUCAGAUGAGCCUAGGUCGGAUUAGCUAGUUGGUGGGGUAAAGGCCUACCAAGGCGACGAUCCGUAACUGGUCUGAGAGGAUGAUCAGUCACAAUGGAACUGAGAAACGGGCCAGACUCCUACGGGAGGCAGCAGUGGGGAAUAUUGGACAAUGGGCGAAAGCCUGAUCCAGACAUGCCGCGUGUGUGAAGAAGGUCUUCGGAUUGUAAAGCACUUUAAGUUGGGAGGAAGGGCAGUAAGUUAAUACCUUGCUGUUUUGACGUUACCAACAGAAUAAGCACAGGCUAACUUCGUG
rnacentral:rRNA from 1 species